UGGGGAAUAGCUCCGCGGCUGAGUGCAUGCUUAGCAUGCAUGAGGUCCUGGGUUCAAUCCUCAGUGCCUCCA
rnacentral:tRNA from 1 species